UGUGAGGAAUGUUGGUAUGGAUUUAAAUGAAGAUGAGGAUUAAGAAUAUUAGUAUUUUGGGUUUGCUUGUGUUUUUUUGGUGUUUUAUUUAUGUCAGUAUGGCUGAAGUACAGAUUGCCUCCCUGAAUGUUAAUGGUGCUCGAGAUUAUAGGAAAAGAGCUGAGCUGUAUGAAAUCAUCAAGCAGAAAAAGGUAGAUGUGACGUUGAUUCAGGAGACGCAUAGUGAUGUGAACAAUGAAAAUGAUUGGAUGAAGGAAUGGGAAGGGUUAUCUUUUUUUAGCCACAACACCACGUUAAGUGGAGGAGUAGCAAUCUUGUUUGCAAAAACUUUUAACCCAAUCUCGUACCAAGUUGAGGAGUUUUUAAAGGGUCGACUUUUAAAAGUGAGAGCACAAGUGGAGAAUUAUAAUUUUGUUUUCAUUUGUGUGUAUGUCCCCAACUCAACCAUUGAUAGGAUGUUGUUUUUAGGCACACUAUGUUCUGUUUUACAAGAUGUUUCUAAUGAUGAUUAUUUAUUUUUGGGAGGUGAUUUUAACUGUACAGUGUGUAAUUGUGACAGAAAUCACAUUGAACCCCAUAUGCCUUCAAGGAAACGUCUUAUUCAGAUAAUUAAUAAGCAUGAGUUAACUGAUGUAUGGAGGUUUUUUCAUGAAGACAAAAGACAGUAUACUUGGUCACAUGCACGUGAUAAUGUUUUAUCUUUGGCAAGACUGGAUAGAUUUUAUGUGUUUAAGCAUCAUGCUGGUAUUUUUAAAAAUUGUUGUAUUUUUCCUGUUGGUUUUUCAGACCAUUGUAUGGUACAAUGUUCUUUCAUUUUAAAUUCUGUCAAGCCUAAAAGUGCGUAUUGGCAUUUUAAUUUAACUUUGUUCGAUGAUAAGGAUUUUAUACGCACUUUUCAUUUGUUUUGGGCUGAUUACAGAACAAAAAAAAAUCAUCUUUUCAAUCAAUACAAAAAUGGUGGGAUUUUGGAAAAAUACAGAUUAAACAGUAUUGUCAGCAGUAUGCUCACAACAGCACCAAAGUUUUAAAUCAGUCAGUGAAAGACUUAGAGACGGACAUAAUUAAAAUACAGGAAUUGGCAGAAUC
rnacentral:lncRNA from 1 species